rnacentral:rRNA from 1 species
UCUUCCCAUGGACGAAGUCUGAUGGAGCAACGCCGCGUGAGUGAAGAAGGUUUUCGGAUCGUAAAACUCUGUUGUUGGAGAAGAAUGUAUUUGAUAGUAACUGAUCAGAUAGUGACGGUAUCCAACCAGAAAGCCACGGCUAACUACGUGCCAGCAGCCGCGGUAAUA